rnacentral:rRNA from 1 species
CCCUUAGAUGUUCUGGGCUGCACGCGUGCUACAAUGACGCUUGCAACAAGUCUUGCCAACCCGAUAGGGUGAGCGGAUCUUUGAAGAGGCGUCGUGAUCGGGACAGUUGAUUGCAAUUAUUCGACUCGAACGAGGAAUUCCUUGUAAUCGCGAUUCAUCAUAUCGCGCUGAAUACGUCCCUGCCCUUUGUACACACCGCCCGUCGCUCCUACCGAUUGAGCGAUCCGGUGAAUGUUUUGGACUGGCGUCAGAAGCGGUUCGCUCCUGACACUACGAAAUUUUGUAAACCUUAUCGCUUAGAGGAAGGAAAAGUCGUAACA